CCUACGGGAGGCAGCAGUGAGGGAUAUUGGUCAAUGGGGGAAACCCUGAACCAGCAACGCCGCGUGAGGCAAGACGGUUCUCGGAGUGUAAACCUCUGUCCUCUGUGAAGAUAAUGACGGUAGCAGAGGAGGAAGCUCUGGCUAACUACGUGCCAGCAGCCGCGGUAAUACGCAGGGAGCAAGCGUUGUCCGGAUUUACUGGGUGUAAAGGGUGCGUAGGCGGCUUUGCAAGUCAGAAGUGAAAUCCAUGGGCUUAACCGAUGAACUGCUUUUGAAACUGCAGAUCUUGAGUGGAGUAGAGGUAGGCGGAAUUCGCGGUGUAGCGAUGAAAUGCGUAGAGAUCGGGAGGAACUCCAGUGGCGAAGGCAGCCUACUGGGCUCUAACUGACGCUGAGGCACGAAAGCGUGGGUAGCAAACAGGAUUAGAUACCCGUGUAGUC
rnacentral:rRNA from 1 species